CUACCUAGCUCGCUUAAGUACCCUUCCUCUCUGCAACCCUGAGCUCGUCCCUCUUUCUAUAUUUCUUGUAUCCACUCACUUUCUUCCUUUCUAUCUUUCUUUCUCGUCACCACUGUUGAUUGCACUUGCCUUUUCUCUUAAAAGAUUAUGUAAGGUCAUGAACAUGAAUAGUGAACCAAAUACCAGUUUCCUCAUCUUCUUUUAGCUCUGCACAACCACCAACAAGGAGUCAAGACCGCCAUCACCCUCAUCAGGUUGUCCACUUUAUGUUUUUUUCUUUAUAGCUUGGCAGUAGUUGCCUCCCCUUUCUCUUUAAAGCUCUCUUUCUAGCUUAAUUGCAUAUAUAUCCAUAUCUACAUAUAUUGUAGCAGAACAGUCAUCCCCGGCCUCUCUUAAUUUCUCUUUACUGUUGGUGUUGUGUUCCGGCGGUUCAAAACAGUACCCGUUGAAGAGACUUUCCAUCAUCCAAAAUCCAAGGGUUGAGAGAGAGAGCUAAUUAAAGAUCCAUUAUUAUAUGACCAUGUUUCCUUCUAGCAGCAGCGCUAGUAAUUACCAGCGGCCUUUUCCAUGUGAUACCAACCAGCAGCCGCAGCUGCUCGAAAAGUCCUCUACAAAUAUCAUUGAUCAGCAUGAUCAUGAAAACCCUAACUCAAUAUCACAUGAUGACCAUCAUAUUCGUCAGUACUAUUCACACUACUCUGAAGAUCAUCAGCAUCAGGCACCUAAUAAUUUUCUUGAACACGACGGACUGCUUUUGAGCUACUUGCUAUCUCAGCAGCAGCUCUUGGUUGGAAGCUCCAGUCCCAAUAUGAACAGUGCUACUUCUCAUCAUGUUCAAGCUCAUGAUACUACUGAAAUCAGCGUUGUGGCUUCCAAUUCAAACAAAAAAGUAAUGGAUCGUGUUGACGAGGAUCGGACUGCCCCAGCUGCAACUUCGAAAGGGUGCUCUUCAAAGAAGAAGAGCAAUACAUCAAAUGGAGAAAGCAAGAACGCGAAGGCUCCUCGAAAGAGAUCAAGCGGGAAUAAGGACAGGCACAGCAAGAUCUACACAGCUCAAGGCCCAAGAGACCGCAGAAUGAGGCUGUCUCUUCAAAUUGCCCGCAAGUUCUUUGAUCUUCAAGACAUGCUGGGGUUUGAUAAAGCCAGCAAAACCAUCGAGUGGCUUUUCACAAAGUCCAAGACUUCCAUCAAGGAACUCAAGCAGCACCUCAACAUCUCACCCCUGGCAGCUUACAGCUGUAGCACCAAUGCCAACGCUACUUCUACCAGCACAAUCACUGCAAAGAUGAAUUCGUCCACUUCUGAGAAUAGCGAAGUUGCAUCCAAGAUUCAGGAGACUGCAAAUGGCGACGUACAUUCGAUUGGGACAUUGGAAAGAGAGAAAAAGAACAGGAAGUUAUGUGUGGUUGCGAGGGAAUCGAGGGUCGAGGCAAGAGCAAGGGCAAGGGAGAGAACAAGGGAGAAGAUGAUGAGGACCAGAUCAGGUUUGGAUCAAUAUCAGAAUUUAAGAAAACAAAGCCCUGAUCAUGAUCAAGUACCACAAAACCCUAAUAAUGAUCAAUUCUCAGGCGGUCACUACUUAUGGUCUUCUAAUUGUCCUAAUGAUCAAUUGUUUGAACCUGGAAUGAUGAUGAAUUCCAUGGUGAUGAGCAUCAAUCAUCAUGAUGAGAAGGUUGUGGGCAGCACAACAAUUCCCAGUGGAGCAAAUUCCGAGGAUUAUGAUUUUCCAAGUUUUCCUGGGAAUUGGGGCCAAAUCAACAAUUCCAAGAACACUACAGGUAAUAACGUGCUGCAAAUAGAUCCAAACCCUAGUAACUCAUCAACUAUGGCUACUGCUCCUCCUACCUCAUACCCCCUAGAACAAAAGCCUAGAUCAGUUUUCAUGUCCACCUCAUCAAGCAUGCAAGAACAAAACCCUAGUUCAAUCUUCGUCACAACCUUGAUUGCUGAAGACCAAAAUCCCACUACUUCUUCAAAUUUUGGGACCAAUUCAAGUAUUGUUUUGCAGUCCCAGUUCCUUGGAAAUUAAUGAAUGGAAAGACCAAUCUUAGUUUCUUGCACCUUCUCCAAUUCCUCACAAUACGGUGUUUGUAUGAAAGUGUGGAUAAUUUUCUUUGAUAUCGCCGGCGCAUGAGUGAGUAAUAUGUUUUCAGGAGUGUUUGUUGAACUUUUUAUUCCAAUUUAUUAGCAAAUUUAAUUUGAGGAUGUCGAUUUAUAAAAAUUGUGCAGUGUCAGGUGCUAUCAUGUUAUCAAUUGAUAAUUGCAUAAAUUCUCCAGAUAAUGUGUAUUCUCAAGAAUUCCAGUUAUUAAAAACAAUAUCUUAACUUCAUGUUUAUAUUUGUAUUUACCAGCUAAUUAAGUACAAUCUACAUAUAUGCCACCUUCAAAUAUUGAUGUUUUGCAGGUUUGAGUAGCUAGCAAGAGUUCUGCUGCAAACAACAAGCAGCAUAUCAUUCUCUAUUCCUUUCAGGUCCUUUUGAUCUCCUAUAUAUGCAAUAAAACCAAACCAUGGAUACAGUAAUAUCCAAAACCAAAAGCUUCUCAGAAUAUAAGAAUUGCGUAUUACAGGUUGAGGAAUGAUCUCUCUGCUUGGAUAUUGGACACCAUACCGUGAUCGAUCUUAAAAGCCAAUACGAACGUUCUGUCAGUAAUCCAGAAUGAGGUGAAAGAAACUGUACCUCACCAUCAAUCAGUCAAGAAGUCUGGAUAGAUGUUCUUGUUAUUAUGAAUCACAUACGUAGUCCUUGAUGGGCACAUUUCGGCUAUCUAUUACAGAACAGAUGCAGCAUUUCGGCUAUAUUCUCUAGCUAAUGUUUCUGCUUUAACAAUGUUUAAAACGAUGGAAUAUUGUUAUUCAUAUUAAUUUGCACAAAAUCAUCAUAUGCACGUAUAUUGUUGUGUGUUUUUGCAUUCAACCUGAGAUAAUUGUUGUUUCCUAUAUAUUCUAGCCAGUAAUAUAUAUACGUGCAAAAAUAGUUGAUAGAGAAACCAUUUAAGCUCAGUUCUCUUGAGACGAUCAAAUUUCAACUGUCAAAAAGCGAAAUCUUUUAAUCGAUCUAUUAUCGCCUAUAUGUAUCCUGCAAAACCUUUUAAUCGAUCUCAUAUGCACAUGUUACAAUCUUAACCUAAACUAGUCCUGGAACCUGGAUUCUGUGGUUAGAUAGCAUCAUCAGAAUCCUGAUGAUAUGUAUACUUGGUGAAUUAACUUGCAAGCUGCAAAAGGUGUAAAGUGUUUUGAGAUUCUGUGGCCAUUUUUUGUUAUUUUUCUUUGUGGUUUCUGUUGUCUUCUUGUUAUAUAAUCAUAUUUGUUUAGCAUAAAGGUCCUUGUUGCU